rnacentral:tRNA from 1 species
UAAAUGAAAGCCAAAAGGGCACCUAUCUGUUAAGUAGGCCACUGUCUAUUCAAGACUCAUUUAG